rnacentral:lncRNA from 1 species
AUAAUUGACAAUAGGCUUCCAUGGAAGUCUUCUGUGCAUUUCUGCAAAAAUUUAGGAAACAUUAGGUUUGACACCAUCAUCAUGUUUGCCAAGGCAGCAAAAAUCCCAGCCGGCAAAGCUUCUAGUAUGAUGAAGCGGAACAGCAAGGACAGCAUGGAAUGACUGAUCAUUUCAGAAUGCCGUCUAGCGAGAGUUUCCAAUGUGGGAGUUUUCCAUUGUUUUGAAGCAGGAGAAAUAGGGACCGGCUGCUUUGGAAGAAACAUGCU